rnacentral:misc_RNA from 1 species
CAAGAGUGAGGGUCCUUCGGGGCCCAAACCUCCAACCCCAUGUUUUCCGACUCUGUUGCCUCGGGGGCGACCCGGCCCUCCUGGGCGUCGGGGCCCCCGGUGGUCCAUCUCAACCCUGCAUCUGUGCGUCUGAGUAAAUAUUUUGAAUCAAUCA